GACGAACGCUGGCGGCGUGCUUAACACAUGCAAGUCGAACGGAAAGGCCCCUUCGGGGGUACUCGAGUGGCGAACAGGUGAGUAACACGUGAGUAACCUGCCCUUGACUUCGGGAUAACUUCAGGAAACUGGGGCUAAUACCGGAUAGGAAUCCUUGCUGCAUGGUGGGGGUUGGAAAGCUUCGGCGGUUUUGGAUGGACUCGCGGCUUAUCAGCUUGUUGGUGGGGUAGUGGCUUACCAAGGCUUUGACGGGUAGCCGGCCUGAGAGGGCGACCGGCCACAUUGGGACUGAGAUACGGCCCAGACUCCUACGGGAGGCAGCAGUGGGGAAUAUUGCACAAUGGGCGGAAGCCUGAUGCAGCAACGCCGCGUGCGGGAUGACGGCCUUCGGGUUGUAAACCGCUUUCAGCAGGGGCGAAGCUUGUGGUGACGGUACCCGCAGAAGAAGCACCGGCUAACUACGUG
rnacentral:rRNA from 1 species